UACGUAGGGCGCAAGCGUUGUCCGGAAUUAUUGGGCGUAAAGAGCUCGUAGGCGGCUUGUCACGUCGAUUGUGAAAGCCCGAGGCUUAACCUCGGGUCUGCAGUCGAUACGGGCUAGCUAGAGUGUGGUAGGGGAGAUCGGAAUUCCUGGUGUAGCGGUGAAAUGCGCAGAUAUCAGGAGGAACACCGGUGGCGAAGGCGGAUCUCUGGGCUGUAACUGACGCUGAGGCGCGAAAGCGUGGGGAGCAAACAGG
rnacentral:rRNA from 1 species